GCCUCAUCCUUUCCAACACUUAUCCAUCCUCCAUCCAGUUGCCAAAAGGUUGUUUGUGAAGCACAAUUCAGUCUCUGUAAUACUCAACAGAAUCAAUGAGUUUCUUCCCUUUGUAGAAUCAAAUGCCAUUUCAUCUUAAUAGAACUUCUAAAGUUUGCCAUUUAUAUAUAUGAAUAUAUUUGUAAUUCACAUAAUUGCUUGUAUUAUAGGCCAUAUGCAUUUUACAGAUGAGUGGAUUUGUCCUGGCACCUCACUCUGACUGUUUUACUUCUUAGGAUAAUUUGGAGUUCAAAUGAUCAUCUGAGAAGCCUGAUCUGGAUUCCUUACAAGUCACAUUGUGAACCCUGCUUCAGCAGAGAAGCAGAAAUCGGAGAUAAGGAAACUGCAGCCAACAGGGUUAAGUGACUUGCCCAGAAUUACACAGAUACUAAGUGUCUGAGGCCAGAUUUGAACUCAAGAAGAAGAGUCUUCCAUAUUCCAGGCCUGGUGCUCUAUCCACUGUGCCACCCAGCUUUGGUGAGUUUCUACUCAGCAGAGAAUGUUGCCUCGGGGAGGGAAUCUUUCCAGUCCCAGAGCAUCAUGUGAUACACAUUUCAGGUCAGUUUCCAUUGACUGCAUCUUCCCUUAUUUGGAGGUAUUUAAGUAGAUGCUAGAUGACCACUCACUGGAUAUUAGACAGUAGAGAUUCCUUUCAUACAUGGUUUGGACUUGAUGGCUGAGCUGGGUAACUCUCUAAACUGAUAAAUUGCCAAGUAGUUACUAAUCUGCAUCAGCAGAAAGAAUACUUCCCUGCCUUACCAUCCCCCCCCCACCAUUAACCUAAACAUAUUAAAUUAUAGGAUUGUGCAAAAAAGAAAUAGGAAUAUCAUUUAGCUUCAUCUCUGAGUUGUUUGACAAAGUACUCACAAAGCACAAUACAUGUGUAAGCUUUUUUAAUACUCAUUUUUAUUCAGGGAUUUUGACAUGAGGGAAAAGGAGAUGUUUAGAGGUUGGCAGAACCUUUUUGUACCCCUCAUCUUAUACAACUUCCCUGGCUGACUAUUCUGUCAAAGAAUAGUUCCCAUCACAGUCAUAAAUAUGGUUCUAAGAAAGGCUAACUCUGUUCAAUCAUUCUGGGAAUAAUAAAUCAUGCCAAGGCCAGAGGAAAUGCA
rnacentral:lncRNA from 1 species